GGAAGCGAUAGUGAAUGCAGAUUGAACGCUGGCGGGAUGCUUUACACAUGCAAGUCGAACGGCAGCACGGACUUCGGUCUGGUGGCGAGUGGCGAACGGGUGAGUAAUGUAUCGGAACGUGCCUAGUAGCGGGGGAUAACUACGCGAAAGCGGAAGCAAUACCGCAUACGCCCCGGGGGAAAGCGGGGACCUUCGGGCCUGCACUAUUAGAGCGGCCGAUAUCGGAUUAGCUAUAGUUGGUGGGGUAACGGUCACCAAGGCGACGAUCCGUAGCCAGUUUUAUGGCGACACCACACACCGGGACUGAGACACGGCCCAGACUCCUACGGAGGCAGCAGUGGGGAAUUUUGGAUAAUGGGAAACCCUGAUCCAGCCAUCCCGCGUGCGAUGAAGGCCUUCAAGCCAAAGCACUUUUGGCAGGAAGAAACGGCACGGAUAAUACCCGUGCAACUGACGGUACCUGCAGAAUAAGCACCCGGCUAACUACGUGCCAGCAGCCGCGGUAAUGUGUGUAGGGUGCAAGCGUUAAUCGGAAUUGAUUAUGCAGCGUGCGCAGGCGGUUCGAAAGAAAGAUGUGAACCGCAUAUUAACUUUGAACUGCAUUUAAACCAUUGAGCUGGAGUGCGUGUCAGAGGAGGGAAUUCGCGUAGCAGUGAAAUGCGUAGAUAUGCGGAGGAACACCGAUGGCGAAGGCAGCCUCCUGGAAGUAACACUGACGCUCAUGCACGAAAGCGUGAGCAAACAGGAUUAGAUACCCUGCAGAGUCCACGCCCUAAACGAUGUCAACUAGCUGUUGGGGCCUUCGGGCUCAGGGCGAGCGCACGUGGGUGAAGUUGACCGCCUGGGGAGUACGGUCGCAAGAUUAAACUCAAAGGAAUUGACGGGGACCCGCACAAGCGGUGGAUGAUGUAAUUAAUUCGAUGCAACGCGAAAACCUUACCUUACCCUUGACAUGUCUGGAAUCCCGAAGAGAUUUGGGAGUGCUCGCAAGAGAACCGGAACACAGGUGCUGCAUGGCUGUCGUCAGCUCGUGUCGUGAGACGUUGGGUUAAGUCCCGCAACGAGCGCAACCCUUGUCAUUAGUUGCUACGAAAGGGCACUCUAAUGAGACUGGCGAAACCGGAGGAAGGUGGGGAUGACAAGUCCUCAUGGCCCUUAUGGGCAGGGGUCACGACAGGCCGCAAUGGUCGGGACAGAGGGUCGCCAACCGCGAGGGGGAGCCAAUCCCAGAAACCCGAUCGUAGUCCGGAUCGCAGUCUGCAACUCGACUGCGUGAAGUCGGAAUCGCUAGUAACGCGGAUCAGCAUGUCGCGGUGAAUACGUUCGGUCUUGUACACACCGCCCGUCACACCAUGGGAGUGGUUUUACCAGAAGUAGUUAGCCUAACCGUAAGGAGGGCGAUUACCACGGUAGGAUUCAUGACUGGGGUGAAGUCGUAACAAGGUAACCCCAGCAUACCGAUA
rnacentral:rRNA from 1 species